GUUGAACGCUGGCAGCAUGCUUAACACAUCAGCGAUUGACUGGUGGCGGACGGGUGAGUAACGCGUAUAUAACUUGCCUCACAGGUAGGGACAACAUUUGGAAACGAAUGCUAAUACCUAAUCCUGUGAGAGAGAUUUGCGUCCAAUUAGCUAGUUGGUGAGGUAACGGCUCACCAAGGCGAUGAUGGGUAGCCAGCCUGAGAGGGUGAUCGGCCACAAGCGGACUGAGACACGGGCAUUAGUGCUACGUGAGGCAGCAGUGCGGAAUAGAGGAAAAUAGACCAAAGUAUGAACCAGCAAUUCGGUGUGUAAGAUGAAGUUUUGGGGAGGUAAAGUGCUUUCAGUUGGGAAGCGGUACCCACAGAAGAAGUGCCGGCUAAAUACGUGCCAGCAGCCGCGGUAAUAC
rnacentral:rRNA from 1 species